GACGAACGCUGGCGGCGUGCUUAACACAUGCCAGUCGAACGGAAAGGCCCUGCUUUUGUUGGGUGCUCGAGUGGCGAACGGGUGAGUAACACGUGAGUAACCUGCCCUUGACUUUGGGAUAACUUCAGGAAACUGGGGCUAAUACCGGAUAGGAGCUCCUGCUGCAUGGUGGGGGUUGGAAAGUUUCGGCGGUUGGGGAUGGACUCGCGGCUUAUCAGCUUGUUGGUGGGGUAGUGGCUUACCAAGGCUUUGACGGGUAGCCGGCCUGAGAGGGUGACCGGCCACAUUGGGACUGAGAUACGGCCCAGACUCCUACGGGAGGCAGCAGUGGGGAAUAUUGCACAAUGGGCGGAAGCCUGAUGCAGCAACGCCGCGUGCGGGAUGACGGCCUUCGGGUUGUAAACCGCUUUCGCAUGUGACGAAGCGUGAGUGACGGUAAUGGGUAAAGAAGCACCGGCUAACUACGUG
rnacentral:rRNA from 1 species